UUAAGUUAUUAAGGGCGCACGGUGGAUGCCUUGGCACUAGAAGCCGAUGAAGGACGUUACUAACGACGAUAUGCUUUGGGGAGCUGUAAGUAAGCUUUGAUCCAGAGAUUUCCGAAUGGGGAAACCCAGCAUGAGUUAUGUCAUGUUAUCGAUAUGUGAAUACAUAGCAUAUCAGAAGGCACACCCGGAGAACUGAAACAUCUUAGUACCCGGAGGAAGAGAAAGAAAAUUCGAUUCCCUUAGUAGCGGCGAGCGAAACGGGGAGAGCCCAAACCAACAAGCUUGCUUGUUGGGGUUGUAGGACACUCUAUACGGAGUUACAAAGGACGACAUUAGACGAAUCAUCUGGAAAGAUGAAUCAAAGAAGGUAAUAAUCCUGUAGUCGAAAAUGUUGUCUCUCUUGAGUGGAUCCUGAGUACGACGGAGCACGUGAAAUUCCGUCGGAAUCUGGGAGGACCAUCUCCUAAGGCUAAAUACUCUCUAGUGACCGAUAGUGAACCAGUACCGUGAGGGAAAGGUGAAAAGCACCCCGGAAGGGGAGUGAAAUAGAACCUGAAACCGUGUGCUUACAAGUAGUCAGAGCCCGUUAAUGGGUGAUGGCGUGCCUUUUGUAGAAUGAACCGGCGAGUUACGAUUUGAUGCAAGGUUAAGCAGUAAAUGUGGAGCCGUAGCGAAAGCGAGUCUGAAUAGGGCGUUUAGUAUUUGGUCGUAGACCCGAAACCAGGUGAUCUACCCUUGGUCAGGUUGAAGUUCAGGUAACACUGAAUGGAGGACCGAACCGACUUACGUUGAAAAGUGAGCGGAUGAACUGAGGGUAGCGGAGAAAUUCCAAUCGAACCUGGAGAUAGCUGGUUCUCUCCGAAAUAGCUUUAGGGCUAGCCUCAAGUGAUGAUUAUUGGAGGUAGAGCACUGUUUGGACGAGGGGCCCCUCUCGGGUUACCGAAUUCAGACAAACUCCGAAUGCCAAUUAAUUUAACUUGGGAGUCAGAACAUGGGUGAUAAGGUCCGUGUUCGAAAGGGAAACAGCCCAGACCACCAGCUAAGGUCCCAAAAUAUAUGUUAAGUGGAAAAGGAUGUGGCGUUGCCCAGACAACUAGGAUGUUGGCUUAGAAGCAGCCAUCAUUUAAAGAGGGCGUAAUAGCUCACUAGUCGAGUGACACUGCGCCGAAAAUGUACCGGGGCUAAACAUAUUACCGAAGCUGUGGAUUGUCCUUUGGACAAUGGUAGGAGAGCGUUCUAAGGGCGUUGAAGCAUGAUCGUAAGGACAUGUGGAGCGCUUAGAAGUGAGAAUGCCGGUGUGAGUAGCGAAAGACGGGUGAGAAUCCCGUCCACCGAUUGACUAAGGUUUCCAGAGGAAGGCUCGUCCGCUCUGGGUUAGUCGGGUCCUAAGCUGAGGCCGACAGGCGUAGGCGAUGGAUAACAGGUUGAUAUUCCUGUACCACCUAUAAUCGUUUUAAUCGAUGGGGGGACGCAGUAGGAUAGGCGAAGCGUGCGAUUGGAUUGCACGUCUAAGCAGUAAGGCUGAGUAUUAGGCAAAUCCGGUACUCGUUAAGGCUGAGCUGUGAUGGGGAGAAGACAUUGUGUCUUCGAGUCGUUGAUUUCACACUGCCGAGAAAAGCCUCUAGAUAGAAAAUAGGUGCCCGUACCGCAAACCGACACAGGUAGUCAAGAUGAGAAUUCUAAGGUGAGCGAGCGAACUCUCGUUAAGGAACUCGGCAAAAUGACCCCGUAACUUCGGGAGAAGGGGUGCUCUUUAGGGUUAACGCCCAGAAGAGCCGCAGUGAAUAGGCCCAAGCGACUGUUUAUCAAAAACACAGGUCUCUGCUAAACCGUAAGGUGAUGUAUAGGGGCUGACGCCUGCCCGGUGCUGGAAGGUUAAGAGGAGUGGUUAGCUUCUGCGAAGCUACGAAUCGAAGCCCCAGUAAACGGCGGCCGUAACUAUAACGGUCCUAAGGUAGCGAAAUUCCUUGUCGGGUAAGUUCCGACCCGCACGAAAGGCGUAACGAUUUGGGCACUGUCUCAACGAGAGACUCGGUGAAAUCAUAGUACCUGUGAAGAUGCAGGUUACCCGCGACAGGACGGAAAGACCCCGUGGAGCUUUACUGUAGCCUGAUAUUGAAAUUCGGCACAGCUUGUACAGGAUAGGUAGGAGCCUUUGAAACGUGAGCGCUAGCUUACGUGGAGGCGCUGGUGGGAUACUACCCUAGCUGUGUUGGCUUUCUAACCCGCACCACUUAUCGUGGUGGGAGACAGUGUCAGGCGGGCAGUUUGACUGGGGCGGGCGCCUCCUAAAAGGUAACGGAGGCGCUCAAAGGUUCCCUCAGAAUGGUUGGAAAUCAUUCAUAGAGUGUAAAGGCAUAAGGGAGCUUGACUGCGAGACCUACAAGUCGAGCAGGGUCGAAAGACGGACUUAGUGAUCCGGUGGUUCCGCAUGGAAGGGCCAUCGCUCAACGGAUAAAAGCUACCCCGGGGAUAACAGGCUUAUCUCCCCCAAGAGUUCACAUCGACGGGGAGGUUUGGCACCUCGAUGUCGGCUCAUCGCAUCCUGGGGCUGUAGUCGGUCCCAAGGGUUGGGCUGUUCGCCCAUUAAAGCGGUACGCGAGCUGGGUUCAGAACGUCGUGAGACAGUUCGGUCCCUAUCCGUCGUGGGCGUAGGAAAUUUGAGAGGAGCUGUCCUUAGUACGAGAGGACCGGGAUGGACAUACCUCUGGUGUACCAGUUGUCGUGCCAACGGCAUAGCUGGGUAGCUAUGUGUGGACGGGAUAAGUGCUGAAAGCAUCUAAGCAUGAAGCCCCCCUCAAGAUGAGAUUUCCCAACUUCGGUUAUAAGAUCCCUCAAAGAUGAUGAGGUUAAUAGGUUCGAGGUGGAAGCAUGGUGACAUGUGGAGCUGACGAAUACUAAUCGAUCGAAGACUUAAUCAA
rnacentral:rRNA from 1 species